rnacentral:rRNA from 1 species
GACGAACGCUGGCGGCGUGCUUAACACAUGCAAGUCGAACGGAAAGGCCCUGCUUUUGUGGGGUGCUCGAGUGGCGAACGGGUGAGUAACACGUGAGUAACCUGCCCUUGACUUUGGGAUAACUUCAGGAAACUGGGGCUAAUACCGGAUAGGAGCUCCUGCUGCAUGGUGGGGGUUGGAAAGUUUCGGCGGUUGGGGAUGGACUCGCGGCUUAUCAGCUUGUUGGUGGGGUAGUGGCUUACCAAGGCUUUGACGGGUAGCCGGCCUGAGAGGGUGACCGGCCACAUUGGGACUGAGAUACGGCCCAGACUCCUACGGGAGGCAGCAGUGGGGAAUAUUGCACAAUGGGCGGAAGCCUGAUGCAGCAACGCCGCAUGCGGGAUGACGGCCUUCGGGUUGUAAACCGCUUUCGCCUGUGACGAAGCGUGAGUGACGGUAAUGGGUAAAGAAGCACCGGCUAACUACGUGCCAGCAGCCGCGGUGAUACGUAGGGUGCGAGCGUUGUCCGGAUUUAUUGGGCGUAAAGGGCUCGUAGGUGGUUGAUCGCGUCGGAAGUGUAAUCUUGGGGCUUAACCCUGAGCGUGCUUUCGAUACGGGUUGACUUGAGGAAGGUAGGGGAGAAUGGAAUUCCUGGUGGAGCGGUGGAAUGCGCAGAUAUCAGGAGGAACACCAGUGGCGAAGGCGGUUCUCUGGGCCUUUCCUGACGCUGAGGAGCGAAAGCGUGGGGAGCGAACAGGCUUAGAUACCCUGGUAGUCCACGCUGUAAACGGUGGGUACUAGGUGUGGGGUCCAUUCCACGGGUUCCGUGCCGUAGCUAACGCUUUAAGUACCCCGCCUGGGGAGUACGGCCGCAAGGCUAAAAUUCAAAGGAAUUGACGGGGCCCCGCACAAGCGGCGGAGCAUGCGGAUUAAUUCGAUGCAACGCGUAGAACCUUACCUGGGUUUGACAUGGAUCGGGAGUGCUCAGAGAUGGGUGUGCCUCUUUUGGGGUCGGUUCACAGGUGGUGCAUGGCUGUCGUCAGCUCGUGUCGUGAGAUGUUGGGUUAAGUCCCGCAACGAGCGCAACCCUUGUUCACUGUUGCCAGCACGUUAUGGUGGGGACUCAGUGGAGACCGCCGGGGUCAACUCGGAGGAAGGUGGGGAUGACGUCAAGUCAUCAUGCCCCUUAUGUCCAGGGCUUCACGCAUGCUACAAUGGCUGGUACAGAGAGUGGCGAGCCUGUGAGGGUGAGCGAAUCUCGGAAAGCCGGUCUCAGUUCGGAUUGGGGUCUGCAACUCGACCUCAUGAAGUCGGAGUCGCUAGUAAUCGCAGAUCAGCAACGCUGCGGUGAAUAAGUUCCCGGGGCU